rnacentral:rRNA from 1 species
GCUAAAGCUAGCCCAAACACAUUCAAACUCAACUAUCAUAUACAAAUAAACCAAAACAUUUAGUUACCCUUAAAAGUAUAGGAGAUAGAAAUNNNNNNNNNCGCUAUAGAGAUAGUACCGCAAGGGAAAGAUGAAAGAAAAUUUAAAAGCAUAAAAUAGCAAAGAUUACCCCUUGUACCUUUUGCAUAAUGAGUUAGCUAGACAUAAUCUAACAAAGAGAACUUAAGCUAGAUACCCCGAAACCAGACGAGCUACCUAUGAACAAUCUUUACAGGAUGAACUCGUCUAUGUUGCAAAAUAGUGAGAAGAUUUAUAGGUAGAGGUGAAAUGCCUAACGAGCCUGGUGAUAGCUGGUUACCCGGGAUAGAAUUUUAGUUCAACUUUAAACUUACCUAAAAACCCACAAAUUCCAAUGUAAGUUUAAAAUAUAAUCUAAAAAGGUACAGCUUUUUAGAACUAGGAUACAGCCUUUAUUAGAGAGUAAGCAUUAACAUAACCAUAGUUGGCCUAAAAGCAGCCAUCAAUUAAGAAAGCGUUCAAGCUCAACAAUCAAAACAACUUAAUACCAAAAACAUAUAUCCAACUCCUAAUANNNNNNNNNNNNNNNNNNNNNNNNNNNNNNNNNNNNNNNNNNNNNNNNNNNNNNNNAGAAAUAUUUCUCCUUGCAUAAGCUUAUAUCAGAGCGGAUAACCACUGAUAGUUAACAACAAGAUACAUAUAACCCAACAAUAAAACAAAUAUCAAGCCAAUUGUUAAUCCAACACAGGUAUGCAAUUAAGGAAAGAUUAAAAGAAGUAAAAGGAACUCGGCAAACAUAAACCCCGCCUGUUUACCAAAAACAUCACCUCUAGCAUUUCCAGUAUUAGAGGCACUGCCUGCCCAGUGACACUAGUUAAACGGCCGCGGUAUCCUGACCGUGCAAAGGUAGCAUAAUCACUUGUUCUCUAAAUAAGGACUAGUAUGAAUGGCCACACGAGGGUUUCACUGUCUCUUACUUCCAAUCCGUGAAAUUGACCUUCCCGUGAAGAGGCGGGAAUACAAAAAUAAGACGAGAAGACCCUAUGGAGCUUCAAUUAAUUAAUCCAAGGAGAUCAACACACACCGAUAGGAAUAACAAACCUCCACAAUGGAUUAACAAUUUAGGUUGGGGUGACCUCGGAGCAUAAAACAACCUCCGAGUGAUUUAAAUCAAGACUCACCAGUCAAAAGUAUUACAUCACUUAUUGAUCCAAAUAAACAUUUGAUCAACGGAACAAGUUACCCUAGGGAUAACAGCGCAAUCCUAUUUUAGAGUCCAUAUCGACAAUAGGGUUUACGACCUCGAUGUUGGAUCAGGACAUCCCGAUGGUGCAGCAGCUAUCAAAGGUUCGUUUGUUCAACGAUUAAAGUCCUACGUGAUCUGAGUUCAGACCGGAGUAAUCCAGGUCGGUUUCUAUCUAUUAAAUAAUUUCUCCCAGUACGAAAGGACAAGAGAAAUGAGGCCCACUUCACCAAAGCGCCUCCAACCUAAUAGAUGAUAUAAUCUUAAUCUAAACAGUUUCACCAUACACUACCCAAGAGUUCGGGUCC